rnacentral:other from 1 species
GAUUAAGAAUUUAUUCUUAGUUAAGUAUUAUGUUGUGUUUGCAUAUUGUUUGGGAAACCAAACAGCGUUAUUUAUUUUCCGGAAUAAAUAGCGAUUUAACUUCCUGUAUAUUUUUGACCUGAUUUUGGGUUCUAAACACCGUACUCUCUGUACGGUGUUUUUUUA